UUUGAUCCUGGCUCAGGAUGAACGCUAGCGGCAGGCUUAACACAUGCAAGUCGAGGGGUAGCAGGGAUUAGUUUACUAAUUUGCUGACGACCGGCGCACGGGUGAGUAACGCGUAUACAAUUUACCUUUUACAGAGGAAUAGCCCAGAGAAAUUUGGAUUAAUGCCCUAUAGUAUUAUAGAAUCGCAUGGUUUUAUAAUUAAAGAUUUAUCGGUAGAAGAUGAGUAUGCGUCCUAUUAGCUAGAUGGUAAGGUAACGGCUUACCAUGGCGACGAUAGGUAGGGGUCCUGAGAGGGAGANCCCCCACACUGGUACUGAGACACGGACCAGACUCCUACGGGAGGCAGCAGUGAGGAAUAUUGGGCAAUGGAGGCAACNCUGACCCAGCCAUGCCGCGUGCAGGAAGACGGCCCUAUGGGUUGUAAACUGCUUUUAUAUAGGAAGAACUAGAUCUACGUGUAGAUUUUUGACGGUACUAUAUGAAUAAGCACCGGCUAACUCCGUGCCAGCAGCCGCGGUAAUAAGGG
rnacentral:rRNA from 1 species